CGGCGGUUGUGAGACAUAGUUUCCGCAUUUCUUUAUUGCGUAAAACUGCAAUAGACAAAAGUUGACGCACACCGUGUCAUGCUGCAACAACAAAGCAACACAACUGGCGAUAUCUGUGCUGGCAGACUUGUUAGAACCUUGUUCGGCGUUGCUUACCCGAGCGCGUUAGAUGAAGCUAGCAAAAAAAUGAGUGAACACACACGCACACAGGCACACAGGCACAAGGCAUUAUAGCCACAAGCUGCCGUGGCAACAUUUUUCGCUGCUCCGCUUCUUUUAAUGGUGAAAUUAUGUUUUAGUUCGUUAACAAGCGCGCCGUGUUCACUUCACACGCGCAUACAGACGCAACAUAAUGUAACGGUGUUGCAAACAAAGCGAUGAAGGAAAUGUGAGGUACGAACUACAAACUGUGGCUGAAAAAACUAUCCUCAGUCGCGGUUGACGCCACAGUCGUGUUGCAAAAUAGUUUGUAGGCAGCAAAAGUGCGGGCGACAAGCGAAGGUUAUUGGGUAAGGCAACAAAGGCGGUACAAAGCCCGCCCACGGCCUACUACGUAACUGUAAAAUUCGGGAAUGCAAGCAAUGCCGCUGCCAAACUGCGCACAGCCGCGCUUACAGCAGGCAUUGCGAGGCGUUGAGCGAGAGCGGGACGCGGCGUGCGGCACUGCCCUGCAUUUGGCAUUCAUUCAAGCAGACGCCUAGCUAUGCUGUCACUGCCGCCCUCAUUUUCAACAGCUGUUGCCCGAAUUUUUGUGUUAAUUAGAAAAGUGGUGGCGCUGCAAGCACAAUUGGAAGAUGAUUUAUCUCGGCGAAUUUGUGCAAUUUAUUUGUUGAUAAGAAAAUAUUUCAUAUACUUUAUGAUGCCCGUGAUACCUACAUCGCUGAUGAAGUGACACCUUUUGACAAUAUCCUAGCAUUAUAGAACUUUUUUGUGCUUUGCCUUUAAAGAAGAAUGAUUAAGGGAACUUUUUUCACAUAUGAGAUAUAUCGUGGAGUGUAAAAACAGAAUUUUUCGGAAUUUUUUGAUGACAUCUGUCAGAGAACCGGCCCGGUGCAUGAGAGGCGUUUUUUCACUGGCGGACACGAUUUCUCAUGUUUGAAUCAUCUGAAACACAAAAACCCAAUUUAUUCUUAAAAAGUACGUGAAUUGUUAUCGUCCCUACUAGAAAAAAAUUUUAAUAAAUAAAAAAAGUAAUUUUUUUU